rnacentral:rRNA from 1 species
AAAUUGAAGAGUUUGAUCAUGGCUCAGAUUGAACGCUGGCGGCAGGCCUAACACAUGCAAGUCGAACGGUAGCAGAAAGAAGCUUGCUUCUUUGCUGACGAGUGGCGGACGGGUGAGUAAUGUCUGGGAAACUGCCCGAUGGAGGGGGAUAACUACUGGAAACGGUAGCUAAUACCGCAUAACGUCUUCGGACCAAAGAGGGGGACCUUCGGGCCUCUUGCCAUCGGAUGUGCCCAGAUGGGAUUAGCUAGUAGGUGGGGUAACGGCUCACCUAGGCGACGAUCCCUAGCUGGUCUGAGAGGAUGACCAGCCACACUGGAACUGAGACACGGUCCAGACUCCUACGGGAGGCAGCAGUGGGGAAUAUUGCACAAUGGGCGCAAGCCUGAUGCAGCCAUGCCGCGUGUAUGAAGAAGGCCUUCGGGUUGUAAAGUACUUUCAGCGGGGA